rnacentral:lncRNA from 1 species
AUGGCCGUGGUAGUGGCACAUCUCUGCCUUCAAGGGAUAACUGUCUACCCGUAUAUAGAUGACUGGUUGUUGGUGGUACCUUCUAGACAAUCACUGUUGCGUGAUCUUUGUUUUACUUUAUCGUUAUUAGAAAACCUUGGUUUAGUUGUGAAUCAGAAAAAUUCUCAUCUUAUCCCUACACAGAGGAUACGAUUUAUCGGAGCACACAUAGACUCUACCACUGGCAGAGCAUAUCUCCCGGACGAUCGGUUUCGAUCUCUUCUCACAGCGCUACUUACCCUCCUACAAGGUCCAAUGCCACGAGCCAGGGAUGUCCAGUCAGCCUUGGGAUAUCUAGCAUCCACAACAGUAGUAACACCUUAUGCAAGGCUCAGAAUGAGGCCUCUUCAGAUGUGGUUCUUGCGUGUCUUCGACCCGCUGACCCAAAGCCAAAACAUCUGUCUCCCUGUUCCGGCUUAUGUCUGCCAGUCCCUACACUGGUGGUUGUCCCGGGACAAUGUGUGCGUGGGUGUUCCAUUUCAGCAGCCACAAGCAACAGUGACUCUAACAACGGAUGCAUCCCUGUAUGGAUGGGGUGCACAUUCCAGCUCCCUUAUGGUCAAAGGCAAAUGGACACAGCAGGAGGCCCAACAUCAUAUCAAUCUCCUCGAGCUCAUGGCAGUACAGCGGAGCCUCUGUGCAUUUCAGGACUUGUGCCACGGCAAGGUAGUCCAACUAUGCACCAACAAUACCACGGUAGCGUGGUAUAUCAACAAACAAGGGGGCACAAAAUCACGCUCCCUCCUAAAGAGGACCAUGGACAUAUGGCAUUGGUGCUUAGCCAACCGCACCCAUUUGAUAGCUGUGCAUGUUCCGGGAGAGGACAACAGUAUCGCAGAUACAUUGAGCAGGGAACAAGACUCGACUCACGAGUGGUCCCUUCAUCCUGCCGAAGCGACUUCUCUUUUCCAGAGGUGGGGCAGUCCCCUGAUAGAUCUAUUUGCAGCACCACACAAUGCAAAAUGCGAUCUGUUCUGUGCCAGACGGCAGGAAGGCCAGACACGAGGGUGCCUGGGAGAUGCCCUCAUGUUCCACUGGUCGGGUCCACUUCUGUACGUGCUUCCACCAAUACCCCUUCUCAACAGAGUAGUAUCAAAACUGUAUCACGACAGAGCCAACUGCAUACUCCUCACGCCAUGGUGGCCCAGGCAGCCCUGGUUUGCUCUCCUUCGGAUGAUGUCGAAAGGGCAGUACCUUCCCCUUCCACUUCGCCCGGACUUGCUCCCAGCAGACCAGGGACGCCUCCGCCACCAGACAUCGCAUGUCUCAGACUCAUGGCAUGGAGGAUUCAUCCCGACCAUUGUCUCAAGCAGUGAGAGACAUAUUGGAUGCAGCACAUAA